rnacentral:lncRNA from 1 species
CUCAGUUAUGAUGUGGGGGUGGGGUAGGGGAACAAUUCAGGGAAUGCUGUGGAGGCUGCUAUGGGAAAAUCCUAAAGGCUGAGAUGUAUGGGGAAGGCAGAGGGAAAAGAGGGAGGGGAGGAGGCUGCCGGAGCCUGAGUGCUGCAGGCACAGUGCAGUGGUCACAGAUACAAACGAGAAGUGCUUUCUGUCAACAACUGCAGCCACCACCAACACAACAAAGAGGAGUCUUUCCUUAGAGAUGAUUCCACCUGCCUUUGACACCAGGCGUCACACAUCUGGCUCGCUGGUAUUGCAUUGAAAUGGCUUCCUGUGUGGAGUUCAGAGGGGAAAAUAAUGAAGUAGGUUUUGCCUCUUUCCUUUUACAGUAACCCCCAAAGGAGCAUACAUUUGAUAAGGGCCAAAGUCUGUUUGUAAAAAGGAACUUCUGAAGAGAGAUACAGCACCUAAGACCAAAGACCUUAAUUUUGCCUCAAAUUUUGGCUAUACUGUUUCUAUAGAGACCAAAGGGAAGCUUUGGCUCCCCUACUCAGCUAUUAAAGUUUAGUGCAUUGAAAACUGUCUUCAUGCUGUGAUACCCUUUCAGGGAGGAGAAUAGGGUCUGAACUAAUCCAUGAAAGUUGUCAUGCUAUGAACUAGUAGUCAAGCUUUUUCCUUUCAAUUGAAUCUAAAACUAUACUGUACUUCACACUUGAUUGGUCCUUCAGAUGGAAGGAUUCAAUAUCCCUGCUGGAAAUCAGCUCGUCUUCUUCACACAGUGCUGUUGAACGUGGAAAGAACUUAUUUCUGAGGCAUAAUUACCAGCUCUAACAUAUGAAAAGUCCUUUGGCAAUCCUGGAUCACUGUUUCUGCAUGGCUUCCCCAUCGCAUAGGGAAAAUCUCCCCUUUGCCACAGACUCCACCAGGCCUGCCUUGUUGUUUGCUUCAUCCUCUAUUUUUCCCCAUUUGCUCUUUGGAUAUAAUAUGGCUCCCAGAAUGAUUUUGCAAUGCUCCUCAAUGGAUUGCAGACAGGAAAAAAGAGCAUAUUCAACUUUAUGCGGACAUUAAAAAUACAGCCUGCUUUUUCUUGUUGAAUGUUAUUCAGAAUUAUUUUUAACUGACUUGAUUUUUCUUAAUUUGACCUGCUACAUUUCUGAACAAGAAUCUGCAAACCAAAUAAAAAAUGAAGAACUGAGCUGUGUCUACUAUUU